AAGGUCAAAUACACUUUUUAGGGCCGGGGAUUUAGCUCAGCGGUUCCGAUGCCUGCCCAACAAGCGCAAGGACUCAAGUUCGAUCCCCAAUACCAAAAAAAAAAUACACUUUAUAAUACAGGGUACAUACAUUGCAGGGCCAGGAGUAUAGAUCUGUGGUAGACCACUUUCUUAGCAUGCAUGAGGCCAUCAGUUUAGUCCUCAGCACCAAAAAAUGAAACAAUAACAACAAAAUACUACAGGUGCAGUGGGGCAGUGGGGAAGGAUGAGGAGGGGGAAGAGGCUGUAAAAUGUUUGUUUCUUUUGGACCCAUUAAUUACAAGUAGGUUGUUCUGAUAAGCAUAGAAUCUGGAUAGGGGCUUUCUUAAAUUACAUAAACUCUGUGCUUCUCUCUAAUACAUUCUUCUAAUUCCUAUUUUAUCUUCCAUAAAGCAACACUGUAUGCAUCUCCAGGGAAUUCCUGCUCCCCAGCUAUUUCUCAGUGUCUUGAUGCUGUUGGCUCUCAUCACUCUUCUCAUAAUAUUUCAGGAAUGAGGAUGAACUAUAGGCUGAGUUUCAGGUCAACAAAAAGCCUUUGGGUCACGAACCUCAGCCAGCAGUGCUCUCGCGGAUCCAGUGGGUUAUUUGUGCCACCAUGUCCACCUUUGAGUCCUGAGAAAGUCAGAGAGUUCCAGCGCUUCAUCACCCUUUCCAAGAAACUCCUAGUGAUGACCGGGGCGGGAAUCUCAACGGAGUCCGGGAUCCCCGACUACAGGUCCGAAAAGGUGGGACUUUAUGCCCGCAACGCCCGGAGGCCCAUCCAGCACAGCGAUUUCCUCCGCAGCGCCCCGAUUCGCCAGCGGUACUGGGCGCGGAACUUCGUGGGCUGGCCUCAGUUCUCCUCCCACCAGCCCAACCCGGCACACUGGGCUCUGAGCACCUGGGAGAGACUUGGGAAGCUGCAUUGGUUGGUGACUCAAAAUGUGGACUCUCUCCACACCAAGGCUGGGAGUCAGCGGCUCACUGAGCUCCACGGAUGCAUGCACAGGGUGCUCUGCCUGAGCUGCGGUGCGCAGACCCCGCGGGGGGCGCUGCAGCAGCGCUUCCAAGUCCUGAACCCCACCUGGGGCGCGGAGGCCCAGGGCCUGGCUCCCGACGGCGACGUCUUUCUCUCGGACGAACAGGUACGCACUUUUCAGGUCCCGUCCUGCCUUCGAUGUGGAGGCCCUCUGAAACCAGACGUCGUCUUCUUCGGGGACACGGUGGAUCCUGCCAAGGUUGAUUUUGUGCACAAGCGCGUGAAAGAAGCCGACGCCCUGCUGGUGGUGGGAUCCUCCUUGCAGGUGUACUCGGGGUACAGAUUCGUCCUCACUGCCCGGGACCAGAAGAUACCGAUCGCCAUCCUGAACAUCGGGCGCACACGCUCGGACGACUUGGCCUGUCUGAAGCUGAGUUCUCGCUGCGGAGAGUUGCUGCCUUUAAUAGACCCUCACUGACCCCCGACAUGAUGUUCCCAAGCCAGAAACGGGCCUUCCCGAGAAUCCGGCUGCUGAAAGUAAAUAAAUGCCUUCCUAGAUAGCAGAUUCCGGUUCCCAUUCAACUGAGAGGAGCAUGGUGCGCUGAGAAGAUACAGAUAAUCCUAGAAUCCCAGGACUCACCAUGCCUUCUUCCACAAACGAAUGGAAGCUCCUCGAGUGCAUCCUGUAGGGGGCACCAAACCACCCCGUCUGCCUGCUCAUCUCCAAGCUGGGCUUGUAUCGCAGAGCCAAGGAGUGAGACCCCAGGCCAAUGAUAUUUAUCCUGUUUUCAAAGAAACAGCUGUUCUUGAUGGGAAAACUGCAUUCAUUUCCUUUUUAUGUCACAUGGGAGAAGAAAUAGUCUGGGGAAAAUGUAGGACACGACACUGGAGUGGUUGCCCGGGGAGUGCACUCAGUGGGUGAGUGUAGAAGGAAAAUGACUUGAUUCAUAAUUCCAAAUGGUUGUGUUUUUAACGGAACCACUUGUUUUGUUUUGUUUUGAUAAAUGUGAAUGAAUGUUUUAUUAACCAAGUAUUAAAGUAUUUCAGUAGCA